GGUUAGAUGGCCGAGCGGUCUAAGGCGCCACGUUAAGGAGAACCCUUGAUACAAUCACUAGUUGAUUCCGUGGUCCGAAAGGGCGUGGGUUCGAAUCCCACUCUAAUCA